rnacentral:rRNA from 1 species
GUGGGGAAUAUUGCACAAUGGGGGAAACCCUGAUGCAGCAACGCCACGUGUGGGAAGAAGCAUUUCGGUGUGUAAACCACUGUCAUGAGGGAAUAAGGCCCGCCUUCGGGCGGGAUUGAAUGUACCUUGAGAGGAAGCACCGGCAAACUUCGUGCCAGCAGCCGCGGUAAUACGAGGGGUGCAAGCGUUGUUCGGAAUUACUGGGCGUAAAGGGAGCGUAGGCGGAGAUUCAAGCGGAUUGUACAAUCCCGGGGCCCAACCCCGGUUCUGCAGUCCGAACUGGAUCUCUUGGAUAGUUCAGGGGCAGGCGGAAUUCCUGGUGUAGCGGUGGAAUGCGUAGAGAUCAGGAAGAACACCGAUGGCGAAGGCAGCCUGCUGGGGACUCAUCGACGCUGAGGCUCGAAAGUGCGGGUAGCAAACAGG